UUGAACGCUAGCGGGAUGCUUUACACAUGCCAGUCGCACGGCAGCGCGGACUUCGGUCUGGCAGCGAGUGGCGAACGGGUGAGUAAUGUAUCGGAACGUGCCCAGUAGCGGGGGAUAACUACGCGAAAGCGUAGCUAAUACCGCAUACGCCCUACGGGGGAAAGCAGGGGAUCGUAAGACCUUGCACUAUUGGAGCGGCCGAUAUCGGAUUAGCUAGUUGGUGAGGUAACGGCUCACCAAGGCGACGAUCCGUAGCUGGUUUGAGAGGACGACCAGCCACACUGGGACUGAGACACGGCCCAGACUCCUACGGGAGGCAGCAGUGGGGAAUUUUGGACAAUGGGGGCAACCCUGAUCCAGCCAUCCCGCGUGUGCGAUGAAGGCCUUCGGGUUGUAAAGCACUUUUGGCAGGAAAGAAACGUCGCGGGCUAAUACCCCGUGGAACUGACGGUACCUGCAGAAUAAGCACCGGCUAACUACGU
rnacentral:rRNA from 1 species